CUCGUACGGAGCGCGGUGCGGCUGCGGGUCAGCUCAGUGUCCGCCCUAGCCCCGUACCGGGGGUGUCCGUGGAGCAGCGCCCUCCGGGAGUUGCGGCCCCGUAAAGCUGGGUAAAUAGCGAGAACCCCUCGGCGAUAAACCACUGCACCGGAGCCAAGCGUGAGGCGGUGGCAUUCACUUACAAACAGAAGAAUACUCAUGCCAAAGCUGACAGCCCAUGGCCUGGAAAGGUGUACUCUUCACUUGACCCUCUGAUCAGGAAGAAGAAAAGGUGAAGGCCUCAGACAACUUCAGUCAUCUGGAAGAAGCCUUCUGUUUGCAAGCCCUGAUGCUCAUGGUAGACUUUAACCACUGAAAUAUCUGCUGGAGUGUCACAGGUGAUCUAGAAGGUGCCUGAAGUGCAGAUGAUAACUUCCUAAGAUCAAG
ensembl:lncRNA